rnacentral:lncRNA from 1 species
AAAAGCACUUUAUGAAAAGCGACUUAUAGACAGGAGCGUCAACUACAUCAAGUGUCAGUUCAUAUAUAUGUUUUGGUCAAAUACAUGUUUGUAUUUGCUCCUCCAAAAUUUGAAAGUCUGUGAUUC